GAGAUUGACUGACGUGACUGGAGUUCAGACGUGUGCUCUUCCGAUCUUAACACAGAGUGGAGGACCGAACCCUAGUCUGUUUAAAAAGGCAGGGAUGAGGUGUGGAUCGGAGUGAAAGGCUAAUCAAACUUGGAAAUAGCUGGUUCUCCCCGAAAUAGCUUUAGGGCUAGCCUCAUAUUUAAAUGUAACGGAGGUAGAGCACUGAAUGAGCUAGGGCCCUUCACCGGGUACCAAACUCAACCAAACUCCGAAUGCUGUUACAGGAUGUAUGGGAGUCAGACUACGGGUGAUAACAUUCGUGGUCAAAAAGGAAACAACCCAGACCGACGGCUAAGGUCUCAAAUCUAUGCUAAGUGGAAAAGGAAGUGUAAUUGCGAAGACAGCCAGGAGGUUGGCUUAGAAGCAGCCAUACCUUAAAAGAGUGCGUAAUAGCUCACUGGUCGAGUAGUAAUGCGCCGAUAAUGUAACGGGGCUAAGCAUAGAACCGAAGCCACGGGCUUGCUCGAAAGAGUAAGCGGUAGGGGAGCAUUGUGGAUGUCGAAGAAGGUGUAUCGCGAGGUAUGCUGGAGAUAACACAAGAGAGGAUGCAGGCAUGAGUAACGAAAAGAGGGGUGAGAUCCCCCUCCGCCGAAAGCCUAAGGAUUCCAGGGUUAAGGUAAUCUUCCCAAGGGUUAGUCGGCCCCUAAGGCGAGGCUGAAAAGCGUAGUCGAUGGGAAACGGGUUAAUAUUCCCGUACCUCUUUUACUUUCGAAGGGAUGACGCAUAAGGUGAAGCCCGGCCGGAGAAUGGUAGUUCCGGUCUAAGCAGUAAGCCGUUGAAGGGUGCAGGAAAAUCCGCAUCUUGAGGUAAGCUGUUAUGGCGAGAGAGUCUAAGGACAAUUGAAGCGGGUGUAGUCAUAGUGCCAGGAAAUAAUCUCUAAGGUUAAGAGUAAAAGGGACCGUACCGUAAACCGACACAGGUAGGCGGGCUGAGAAUGCUAAGGCGCUCGGGAGAACUCGCGUUAAGGAACUCGGCAAAAUACACACGUAACUUCGGGAGAAGUGUGGCCUUUUUUGGAGAUCAAAAUUUAGAAGAGGUUGCAGAGAAUAGGUCCAGGCGACUGUUUACCAAAAACACAGGUCUGUGCGAAAUUGCAAAAUGACGUAUACGGACUGACACCUGCCCGGUGCCGGAAGGUUAAGAGGAGGGGUUAGCACUUAGGUGCGAAGCUCUGAAUUGAAGCCCCGGUAAACGGCGGCCGUAACUAUAACGGUCCUAAGGUAGCGAAAUUCCUUGUCGGGUAAGUUCCGACCCGCACGAAUGGUGUAACGAUCUGGACGCUGUCUCAACGCGAGACCCGGUGAAAUUGGAGUACCGGUGAAGAUACCGGUUACUCGUGGUUAGACGGAAAGACCCCAUGAACCUUUACUGUAGCUUGGCACUGAAACUUGUCCUGAUAUGUGUAGGAUAGGUGGGAAACUAUGAAGCUUGUACGCUAGUAUGAGUGGAGUUGACGGUGAAAUACCACCCUUAUCAGGUUAGGUUUCUAACGGAUGCCAUUAUCUGGUAUCUGGACAAUGUCAGGUGGGCGGUUUGACUGGGGCGGUCGCCUCCUAAAGAGUAACGGAGGCGCGCGAAGGUUGCCUUGCGGUGGUUGGAAAUCAUCGUGUAAGUGUAAAGGCAUAAGGCAGCCUGACUGCGAGACAAACAAGUCGAGCAGGUACGAAAGUAGGUCUUAGUGAUCUGGCGGUGGCACGUGGAAGCGCCGUCACUUAACGGACAAAAGGUACUCCGGGGAUAACAGGCUGAUUUUGCCCAAGAGUUCA
rnacentral:rRNA from 1 species